AGAGUUUGAUCAUGGCUCAGGAUGAACGCUGGCGGCGUGCUUAACACAUGCAAGUCGAACGAUCCUUCGGGAUAGUGGCGGACGGGUGAGUAACGCGUGGGAAUCUGCCCUUAGGAGGGGGAUAACGGCUGGAAACGGCCGCUAAUACCCCAUAUGCCGAGAGGUGAAACGAAUUUCGCCUGAGGAUGAGCCCGCGUCUGAUUAGCUAGUUGGUGGGGUAAAGGCCUACCAAGGCGACGAUCAGUAGCUGGUCUGAGAGGAUGAUCAGCCACACUGGGACUGAGACACGGCCCAGACUCCUACGGGAGGCAGCAGUGGGGAAUUUUCCGCAAUGGGCGAAAGCCUGACGGAGCAACGCCGCGUGAGGGAUGAAGGCCUCUGGGCUGUAAACCUCUUUUCUCAAGGAAGAAGAACUGACGGUACUUGAGGAAUAAGCCACGGCUAAUUCCGUGCCAGCAGCCGCGGUAAUACGGGAGUGGCAAGCGUUAUCCGGAAUUAUUGGGCGUAAAGCGUCCGCAGGCGGCCUUGUAAGUCUGUUGUUAAAGCGUGGAGCUCAACUCCAUUUAAGCAAUGGAAACUACAAGGCUGGAGUGUGGUAGGGGCAGAGGGAAUUCCCGGUGUAGCGGUGAAAUGCGUAGAUAUCGGGAAGAACACCAGUGGCGAAGGCGCUCUGCUGGGCCAUAACUGACGCUCAUGGACGAAAGCCAGGGGAGCGAAAGGGAUUAGAUACCCCUGUAGUCCUGGCCGUAAACGAUGAACACUAGGUGUCGGGGGAAUCGACCCCCUCGGUGUCGUAGCCAACGCGUUAAGUGUUCCGCCUGGGGAGUACGCACGCAAGUGUGAAACUCAAAGGAAUUGACGGGGGCCCGCACAAGCGGUGGAGUAUGUGGUUUAAUUCGAUGCAACGCGAAGAACCUUACCAGGGUUUGACAUCCUGCGAAUCCCUUGGAAACGAGGGAGUGCCUUCGGGAGCGCAGUGACAGGUGGUGCAUGGCUGUCGUCAGCUCGUGUCGUGAGAUGUUGGGUUAAGUCCCGCAACGAGCGCAACCCACGUCUUUAGUUGCCAGCAUUCAGUUGGGCACUCUAGAGAGACCGCCGGUGAUAAACCGGAGGAAGGUGUGGAUGACGUCAAGUCAUCAUGCCCCUUACAUCCUGGGCUACACACGUACUACAAUGCUACGGACAAAGGGCAGCAAGCUCGCGAGAGUUAGCAAAUCCCAUAAACCGUGGCUCAGUUCAGAUCGUAGGCUGCAACUCGCCUACGUGAAGGAGGAAUCGCUAGUAAUCGCAGGUCAGCAUACUGCGGUGAAUACGUUCCCGGGCCUUGUACACACCGCCCGUCACACCAUGGAAGUUGGCCAUGCCCGAAGUCGUUACUCCAACCCUUGUGGAGGAGGACGCCGAAGGUAGGGCUGAUGACUGGGGUGAAGUCGUAACAAGGUA
rnacentral:rRNA from 1 species